AAAGUAGCUUAUGCCACUGCCAUGGACUGGUUCAUUGCAGUAUGUUACGCUUUU
rfam:Xenopus laevis strain J chromosome 3L, whole genome shotgun sequence.